rnacentral:lncRNA from 1 species
GGAUUUAAUCUCGAAUUUUUUAAUUAGACUUAUGAAGUUCCAAUUGGAUUAGCGUUUAUUGAAAUCCUAUUAGGUUUAUGAGAACCAUGCUAGCACACGGUUAAACCUAAUUCUUCUUGAGACUUCGAUUUGAUCAAGUCUAUAACCUUGAACCUAACGUAAAUCUAUUUAAAUUUUAUUGGGCUCUUAAUUGUGAGUCCAAGAGGAUUUGAUUAAGUCAAUUAGUUGGCAUAAUUAUCCUAACAUUAUCUCUUGUUUAUCUCCUAAUUAUCUCUAAGUGUGCAUGUGGAAUAGAUGGAAAGAGGGAGGCACAAUCUUUUCUUUUUGGCAAGACCAGGGGGCGCCA